rnacentral:rRNA from 1 species
ACAGCAGUAGCCGCGGUAAUGCGUAGGUGGCAAGCGUUGUCCGGAAUUAUUGGGCGUAAAGGGCUCGCAGGCGGUUUCUUAAGUCUGAUGUGAAAGCCCCCGGCUCAACCGGGGAGGGUCAUUGGAAACUGGGAAACUUGAGUGCAGAAGAGGAGAGCGGAAUUCCACGUGUAGCGGUGAAAUGCGUAGAGAUGUGGAGGAACACCAGUGGCGAAGGCGACUCUCUGGUCUGUAACUGACGCUGAGGAGCGAAAGCGUGGGGAGCGAACAGGAUUAGAUACCCCGGUAGUCCCUGUCUCUUAUAC